UACGUAGGGCGCGAGCGUUAAUCGGAAUUACUGGGCGUAAAGUGUGCGCAGGCGGCAGAGCAAGUCGAGUGUGAAAUCCCCGGGCUUAACCUGGGAACUGCAUUGGUGACUGCAUUGCUGGAGUAUGGCAGAGGGGGGUGGAAUUCCACGUGUAGCAGUGAAAUGCGUAGAGAUGUGGAGGAACACCGAUGGCGAAGGCAGCCCCCUGGGCCAAUACUGACGCUCAUGCACGAAAGCGUGGGGAGCAAACAGG
rnacentral:rRNA from 1 species